AGUACGGCGAGUGAGCGGCACAGCUCAAUUUGAAAUCUGGCCCCCAGGGCCCGAGUUGUAAUUUGCAGAGGAUGCUUUUGGCGCGGUGCCUUCCGAGUUCCCUGGAACGGGACGCCAUAGAGGGUGAGAGCCCCGUCUGGUCGGACGCCUAGCCUGUGUAAAGCUCCUUCGACGAGUCGAGUAGUUUGGGAAUGCUGCUCUAAAUGGGAGGUAUAUGUCUUCUAAAGCUAAAUACCGGCCAGAGACCGAUAGCGCACAAGUAGAGUGAUCGAAAGAUGAAAAGCACUUUGAAAAGAGGGUUAAAUAGUACGUGAAAUUGUUGAAAGGGAAGCGCUUGUGACCAGACUUGGGCCCGGUGGAUCAUCCAGCGUUCUCGCUGGUGCACUCCGCCGGGUUCAGGCCAGCAUCAGUUCGCCGCGGGGGAAAAAGGCUUCGGGAACGUGGCUCCUACGGGAGUGUUAUAGCCCGUUGCAUAAUACCCUGGGGCGGACUGAGGUUCGCGCUCCGCAAGGAUGCUGGCGUAAUGGUCAUCAGCGACCCGU
rnacentral:rRNA from 1 species